rnacentral:rRNA from 1 species
UACAGAGGGGGCAAGCGUUAUUCGGAAUUAUUGGGCGUAAAGGGCGCGUAGGCGGCCUGGCAAGUGGAAGGUGAAAUCCCUCGGCUUAACCGGGGAACUGCGUCUGAUACUGGAUGGCUUGAGUUUGGGAGAGGGAUGCGGAAUUCCAGGUGUAGCGGUGAAAUGCGUAGAGAUCCGGAAGAACACCGGAGGCGAAGGCGGCUUGCUGGACCUGGUCUGACGCUGAGGCGCGAAAGCGUGGGGAGCGAACAGG